rnacentral:rRNA from 1 species
AACUACGUGCCAGCAGCCGCGGUAAUACGUAGGGGGCGAGCGUUAUCCGGAUUCAUUGGGCGUAAAGCGCGCGUAGGCGGCCGCCUAAGCGGGACCUCUAACCCCGGGGCUCAACCCCGGGCCGGGUCCCGGACUGGGCGGCUCGAGUGCGGUAGAGGAGAGCGGAAUUCCCGGUGUAGCGGUGGAAUGCGCAGAUAUCGGGAAGAGCACCGAUGGCGAAGGCAGCUCUCUGGGCCGUCACUGACGCUGAGGCGCGAAAGCUGGGGGAGCGAACAGGAUUAGAAACCCUUGUAGUCCCACAGAUC